rnacentral:rRNA from 1 species
UACGGGGGGGGCAAGCGUUGUUCGGAAUUACUGGGCGUAAAGGGCGCGUAGGCGGCCUUCUAAGUCGAACGUGAAAUCCCCGGGCUCAACCCGGGAACUGCGUCCGAUACUGGAAGGCUUGAAUCCGGGAGAGGGAUGCGGAAUUCCAGGUGUAGCGGUGUAAUGCGUAGAUAUUGGGAGGAACAUCGGUGGCGAAGGCGGCUACCUGGACGGGUACUGACGCUGAUGCGCGAAAGCUAGGGGAGCAAACAGG